AGGUGUAGCUCACUGAGAAGCAGCCACGAAUCAGUUCUGGUUGGAAGCCAACAUCUUCAUGGAAUUUUCCAAAGUGCAUCGUCAGUUUUUGUAUUAAGAAAACAAUGCACAAACCAGUAGUCCUCAGAGUCUUUUCCAGUGAGUCCACUCUUCACAGCAGGUGGCUAAAUUAUUCGAGCUUAAGCUUCAGCAACCGCUGAAGCACCAGGGAAGUCCCUAGGUGGUGUUUUUUGGCUCUGCACCUAUCUGCCUCGAAAAGUACCCAAAUGGAUGUGAAGUAAAUCGCUGGGCUCCUGUCAACAUCUAAACCAAGGCAUUCCUGCUGCAGAACUUCCAGAACAGUGCAUUUAAAGGAGAGACAUUGCCAUUUUCAACAGGGAGUAUAUAAUGCAUGAAAAGAGGAAGAGCCGCCUGUGAUAAGGCAGCCGUGGACGGCCUGUCCCACUGCUGUCAGUCUGCUGGGAAGUAGAAAGAGGCCGUGCUUGCACUGUGUGCUCAAUCCUCUCGGCCACACUCAGCUGCUGGU
ensembl:lncRNA